UUUGAAAACCUAAAAUAUUUAAGGAGCUUAUAUUCAAGAUCAUGUUAAAAAAAUUAAAUAUAUUUGAAUUUAUAUUAAAAAAAAAAAAAUGCACUUGGAUUGACACUUCUAAUCAAGUUUAAAUUAAGUCAAGAACUUUAGGGGAAUCAUCAGAAUUACUCCACAAUGAUAGUAGUAUAUAGUCAAAUACAUGCAACUGCUUUAAACAAAAGUAGAACUUGUAAAAAAAUCCUCACAACAGAAAGAAAAAAUAAUUAUUUAAAUGAUACAUUCUAAAAACAUGUGAUGGCUAAUUUGAUAAUUCAACAGAUGCAUUUUGCAGAUUUAAACCAAAAAAGUGCUACAAGAAUUAUGAAAUGGCUUUGCUAAUAUUGGCGUAUGAACCGUUAAUAGCUUCACCAUUUUCAGAAGUUGUAACACAUCACCUUCCA
rnacentral:lncRNA from 1 species